GGAUUAGUGGCGAACGGGUGAGUAACACGUGGGCAAUCUGCCCUUCACUCUGGGACAAGCCCUGGAAACGGGGUCUAAUACCGGAUAACACUCUGUCCCGCAUGGGACGGGGUUAAAAGCUCCGGCGGUGAAGGAUGAGCCCGCGGCCUAUCAGCUUGUUGGUGGGGUAAUGGCCUACCAAGGCGACGACGGGUAGCCGGCCUGAGAGGGCGACCGGCCACACUGGGACUGAGACACGGCCCAGACUCCUACGGGAGGCAGCAGUGGGGAAUAUUGCACAAUGGGCGAAAGCCUGAUGCAGCGACGCCGCGUGAGGGAUGACGGCCUUCGGGUUGUAAACCUCUUUCAGCAGGGAAGAAGCGAAAGUGACGGUACCUGCAGAAGAAGCGCCGGCUAACUACGUGCCAGCAGCCGCGGUAAUACGUAGGGCGCAAGCGUUGUCCGGAAUUAUUGGGCGUAAAGAGCUCGUAGGCGGCUUGUCACGUCGGAUGUGAAAGCCCGGGGCUUAACCCCGGGUCUGCAUUCGAUACGGGCUAGCUAGAGUGUGGUAGGGGAGAUCGGAAUUCCUGGUGUAGCGGUGAAAUGCGCAGAUAUCAGGAGGAACACCGGUGGCGAAGGCGGAUCUCUGGGCCAUUACUGACGCUGAGGAGCGAAAGCGUGGGGAGCGAACAGGAUUAGAUACCCUGGUAGUCCACGCCGUAAACGUUGGGAACUAGGUGUUGGCGACAUUCCACGUCGUCGGUGCCGCAGCUAACGCAUUAAGUUCCCCGCCUGGGGAGUACGGCCGCA
rnacentral:rRNA from 1 species